GGAUGGCCUCCAAUUCCUUUGCUGGAAGAAAGAAGAAAAAGGAAAGGGGGAGAGAGAGAGAGAGGGGUAGAGGUGCUGGAAAAAUGCAACUAAAGAGCCCAGGUAUGGAAGAAGAACAGGAAGACUAAAGAAAAAUCACUUCUAAUUUCUGGAUUUGAAGUCUUAGGUCACACGCUAUUGUCUACCUGAUCUGUCCAAUCUGUUUGAUCUGCUUCUGGAGCUAUCUGUUAUCAAGCGCUUGACCAGGCCUACAGCUUCUGUCUGGAUUCUAUUUUUGUCAGCCAACCUAUGUGCCUCCCAUGAAGGUUUUGGAUAUGCCAAGUAGUUAAAGCUAUGUGAAUAAAGUUUAAAUUUUUGUUUAUUUUGUAUUUAGGGCUAAGUCCCCUUUUUGUCUAAUCUAUAUUUGAUGAUGUGUAUAUAUAUGUAUAUAAAGUUUAAAAUUUUUCGGUUUUA